rnacentral:rRNA from 1 species
CUAGUAAUCGCGAAUCAGAAUGUCGCGGUGAAUACGUCCCCGGGUCUUGUACACACCGCCCGUCACACCAUGGGAGUCAGUAACGCCCGAAGUCAGUGACCCCAACCAUAAAGGAGGGAGCUGCCGAAGGUGGGACCGAUAACUGGGGUGAAGUCGUAACAAGGUAUC